rnacentral:rRNA from 1 species
AUUGAACGCUGGCGGCAGGCCUAACACAUGCAAGUCGAACGAGUGGCGGACGGGUGCGUAAUGUCUGGGAAACCGCCUGAUGGAGGGGGAUAACUACUGUAAACGGUAGCUAAUACCGCAUACCAUCAGAUGUGCCCAGAUGGGAUUGGCUUGUUGGUGGGGUAACUGCUCACCAAGGCGACGAUCCCUAGCUGGUCUGGGAAGAUGACCGGCCACACUGGAACGGAAACACGGUGCAGACUCCUACGGGAGGCAGCAGUGGGGAAUAUUGCACAAUGGGCGCAAGCCUGAUGCAGCAAUGCGGGGGGUAUUGAGAAGGCCUUCGGGUUGUAAAGUACUUUCAGCGGGGAGGCGUUACCCGCAGAAGAAGCACCGGCUAACUCCGUGCCAGCAGCCGCGGUAAUAC